rnacentral:lncRNA from 1 species
GCAUGUGUGUGUGCGUGCGCAGUUGUCUAGCCUGCACAAGCAUGUUUUCCCACAUGUGGGCAAGGGCCUCCCAUAUGUGCAACUUGCCUUCUCAUACAGGAAAGGAUUCCACUAGUGCAGAUGUUCCCUCCUGCAUACGUGGCUACCCAUAUACGUGAAUAAGGAGUUGUCCGUCACUCCCCAAAGCCGAUCAACCUUUGCUUGGAUAAUUUUUUGGGUCAUGGCUUUCCUUGGCUGUGAGGCCUUGAUCCUUUCUUGGGUUGGGCCAAAAGCUGGCCUUCUAUCUUAUCUUGAGAUUCGUCAAGCCCAUAAAGUGUCUAUUGGGCCUUUAACAUU